AUUGAACGCUGGCGGCAGGCCUAACACAUGCAAGUCGAGCGGUAGCACAGAGAGCUUGCUCUCGGGUGACGAGCGGCGGACGGGUGAGUAAUGUCUGGGAAACUGCCUGAUGGAGGGGGAUAACUACUGGAAACGGUAGCUAAUACCGCAUAACGUCGCAAGACCAAAGUGGGGGACCUUCGGGCCUCAUGCCAUCAGAUGUGCCCAGAUGGGAUUAGCUAGUAGGUGGGGUAACGGCUCACCUAGGCGACGAUCCCUAGCUGGUCUGAGAGGAUGACCAGCCACACUGGAACUGAGACACGGUCCAGACUCCUACGGGAGGCAGCAGUGGGGAAUAUUGCACAAUGGGCGCAAGCCUGAUGCAGCCAUGCCGCGUGUGUGAAGAAGGCCUUCGGGUUGUAAAGCACUUUCAGCGGGGAGGAAGGCGGUGAGGUUAAUAACCUCAUCGAUUGACGUUACCCGCAGAAGAAGCACCGGCUAACUCCGUGCCAGCAGCCGCGGUAAUACGGAGGGUGCAAGCGUUAAUCGGAAUUACUGGGCGUAAAGCGCACGCAGGCGGUCUGUCAAGUCGGAUGUGAAAUCCCCGGGCUCAACCUGGGAACUGCAUUCGAAACUGGCAGGCUAGAGUCUUGUAGAGGGGGGUAGAAUUCCAGGUGUAGCGGUGAAAUGCGUAGAGAUCUGGAGGAAUACCGGUGGCGAAGGCGGCCCCCUGGACAAAGACUGACGCUCAGGUGCGAAAGCGUGGGGAGCAAACAGGAUUAGAUACCCUGGUAGUCCACGCCGUAAACGAUGUCGAUUUGGAGGUUGUGCCCUUGAGGCGUGGCUUCCGGAGCUAACGCGUUAAAUCGACCGCCUGGGGAGUACGGCCGCAAGGUUAAAACUCAAAUGAAUUGACGGGGGCCCGCACAAGCGGUGGAGCAUGUGGUUUAAUUCGAUGCAACGCGAAGAACCUUACCUGGUCUUGACAUCCACAGAACUUAGCAGAGAUGCUUUGGUGCCUUCGGGAACUGUGAGACAGGUGCUGCAUGGCUGUCGUCAGCUCGUGUUGUGAAAUGUUGGGUUAAGUCCCGCAACGAGCGCAACCCUUAUCCUUUGUUGCCAGCGGUUAGGCCGGGAACUCAAAGGAGACUGCCAGUGAUAAACUGGAGGAAGGUGGGGAUGACGUCAAGUCAUCAUGGCCCUUACGACCAGGGCUACACACGUACUACAAUGGCAUAUACAAAGAGAAGCGACCUCGCGAGAGCAAGCGGACCUCAUAAAGUAUGUCGUAGUCCGGAUUGGAGUCUGCAACUCGACUCCAUGAAGUCGGAAUCGCUAGUAAUCGUAGAUCAGAAUGCUACGGUGAAUACGUUCCCGGGCCUUGUACACACCGCCCGUCACACCAUGGGAGUGGGUUGCAAAAGAAGUAGGUAGCUUAACCUUCGGGAGGGCGCUUACCACUUUGUGAUUCAUGACUGGGGUGA
rnacentral:rRNA from 1 species